rnacentral:rRNA from 1 species
GAUGAACGCUGGCGGCGUGCCUAAUACAUGCAAGUCGAGCGAACAGAUGAGGAGCUUGCUCCUCUGACGUUAGCGGCGGACGGGUGAGUAACACGUGGAUAACCUACCUAUAAGACUGGGAUAACUUCGGGAAACCGGAGCUAAUACCGGAUAAUAUAUUGAACCGCAUGGUUCAAUAGUGAAAGACGGUUUUGCUGUCACUUAUAGAUGGAUCCGCGCCGCAUUAGCUAGUUGUUAAGGUAACGGCUUACCAAGGCGACGAUGCGUAGCCGACCUGAGAGGGUGAUCGGCCACACGGGAACUGAGACACGGUCCAGACUCCUACGGGAGGCAGCAGUAGGGAAUCUUCCGCAAUGGGCGAAAGCCUGACGGAGCAACGCCGCGUGAGUGAUGAAGGUCUUCGGAUCGUAAAACUCUGUUAUUAGGGAAGAACAAAUGUGUAAGUAACUAUGCACGUCUUGACGGUACCUAAUCAGAAAGCCACGGCUAACUACGUG